rnacentral:rRNA from 1 species
GACGAACGCUGGCGGCGUGCCUAAUACAUGCAAGUAGAACGCUGAAGGAGGAGCUUGCUUCUCCGGAUGAGUUGCGAACGGGUGAGUAACGCGUAGGUAACCUGCCUGGUAGCGGGGGAUAACUAUUGGAAACGAUAGCUAAUACCGCAUAACAGUAGAUGUUGCAUGACAUUUGCUUAAAAGUUGCAAUUGCAUCACUACCAGAUGGACCUGCGUUGUAUUAGCUAGUUGGUGAGGUAACGGCUCACCAAGGCGACGAUACAUAGCCGACCUGAGAGGGUGAUCGGCCACACUGGGACUGAGACACGGCCCAGACUCCUACGGGAGGCAGCAGUAGGGAAUCUUCGGCAAUGGACGGAAGUCUGACCGAGCAACGCCGCGUGAGUGAAGAAGGUUUUCGGAUCGUAAAGCUCUGUUGUAAGAGAAGAACGAGUGUGAGAGUGGAAAGUUCACACUGUGACGGUAUCUUACCAGAAAGGGACGGCUAACUACGUG